rnacentral:rRNA from 2 species
GGUCAAGCGAAUAAGCGCACACGGUGGAUGCCUUGGCGGUCAGAGGCGAUGAAGGACGUGGCAGCCUGCGAAAAGUAUCGGGGAGCUGGCAACAAGCUUUGAUCCGGUAAUGUCCGAAUGGGGAAACCCACCCGCUUGCGGGUAUCCUGCAGUGAAUACAUAGCUGCUGGAAGCGAACCUGGUGAACUGAAAUAUCUAAGUAACCAGAGGAAAAGAAAUCAACCGAGAUUCCGUAAGUAGCGACGAGCGAACGCGGACUAGCCCUUAAGCUGGAUUGGUUCUAGGAAAACGCUCUGGAAAGAGCGGCCAUAGAAGGUGAUAGCCCUGUAUCUGAAAGGGCCAUUCCAGUGAAGACGAGUAGGGCGGGGCACGUGAAACCCUGUCUGAACAUGGGGGGACCAUCCUCCAAGGCUAAAUACUACUGACCGACCGAUAGUGAACCAGUACCGUGAGGGAAAGGCGAAAAGAACCCCGGAGAGGGGAGUGAAAUAGAACCUGAAACCGUGUGCGUACAAGCAGUAGGAGCUCCGCAAGGAGUGACUGCGUACCUUUUGUAUAAUGGGUCAGCGACUUACUGUUCGUGGCAAGCUUAACCGUAUAGGGGAGGCGAAGGGAAACCGAGUCUGAUAAGGGCGCAUAGUCGCGGGCAGUAGACCCGAAACCGGGUGAUCUAGUCAUGCCCAGGGUGAAGGUGCGGUAACACGCACUGGAGGCCCGAACCCACUCCCGUUGCAAAGGUAGGGGAUGAGGUGUGAUUAGGAGUGAAAAGCUAAUCGAACCCGGAGAUAGCUGGUUCUCCUCGAAAGCUAUUUAGGUAGCGCCUCAUAUGUAUCCUCUCGGGGGUAGAGCACUGUUAUGGCUAGGGGGUCAUCGCGACUUACCAAACCAUUGCAAACUCCGAAUACCGAGACGGACUGUAUGGGAGACACACGGCGGGUGCUAACGUCCGUCGUGAAAAGGGAAACAACCCAGACCCACAGCUAAGGUCCCAAAUUUUGUGCUAAGUGGAAAACCAUGUGGAAAGGCACAGACAGCCAGGAGGUUGGCUUAGAAGCAGCCACCCUUUAAAGAAAGCGUAAUAGCUCACUGGUCGAGUCGGUCUGCGGGGAAGAUUUAACGGGGCUAAGCACAGAACCGAAGCUUGGGGUGCAUACUUUGUAUGCGCGGUAGAGGAGCGUUCCGUAAGCCGUUGAAGGUGGAUUGAGAAGUCUGCUGGAGGUAUCGGAAGUGCGAAUGCUGACAUGAGUAACGAUAAUGCGGGUGAAAAACCCGCACGCCGAAAGCCCAAGGUUUCCUUGCGCAACGUUAAUCGGCGCAGGGUGAGUCGGCCCCUAAGGCGAGGACGAAAGUCGUAGUCGAUGGGAAGCAGGUUAAUAUUCCUGCACCUCGCGUAAGUGCGAUGGAGGGACGGAGAAGGUUAGGUGUACCAGGCGUUGGUUGUCCUGGGGAAAGGCGGUAGGUUUGGAUCUUUGGCAAAUCCGGGAUCCUCUAAGACCGAGCACCGAGACGAGCCUUUAUGGCGAAGUCACUGAUACCACGCUUCCAGGAAAAGCUCCUAAGCUUCAGCUUACGCAGACCGUACCGUAAACCGACACAGGUGGGUAGGAUGAGAAUUCUCAGGCGCUUGAGAGAACUCGGGUGAAGGAACUAGGCAACAUGGCACCGUAACUUCGGGAGAAGGUGCACCCUUUUUGGUGGCUCGUGCGAGCUAUAGCUGAAGAGGGUCGCAGUAACCAGGCCGCUGCGACUGUUUAUCAAAAACACAGCACUCUGCAAACACGAAAGUGGACGUAUAGGGUGUGACGCCUGCCCGGUGCUGGAAGGUUAAUUGAUGGGGUCAGCCGCAAGGCGAAGCUCUUGAUCGAAGCCCCAGUAAACGGCGGCCGUAACUAUAACGGUCCUAAGGUAGCGAAAUUCCUUGUCGGGUAAGUUCCGACCUGCACGAAUGGCGUAACGACAGCGGCGCUGUCUCCACCCGAGACUCAGUGAAAUUGAAAUCGCUGUGAAGAUGCAGCGUUCCCGUGGCAAGACGGAAAGACCCCGUGAACCUUUACUAUAGCUUUACACUGAACGUUGAGUUCGUCUGUGUAGGAUAGGUGGGAGGCUAUGAAACUGUGGCGCCAGCUGCAGUGGAGCCAUCCUUGAAAUACCACCCUGUCGUGCUUGACGUUCUAACCUGGGCCCAUUAUCUGGGUCGGGGACCGUGUAUGGUGGGUAGUUUGACUGGGGCGGUCUCCUCCUAAAGAGUAACGGAGGAGCUCGAAGGUACGCUCAGCGCGGUCGGACAUCGCGCACUGUGUGCAAAGGCAUAAGCGUGCUUGACUGCAAGAUCGACGGAUCAAGCAGGUAGGAAACUAGGACUUAGUGAUCCGGUGGUUCUGUAUGGAAGGGCCAUCGCUCAACGGAUAAAAGGUACUCCGGGGAUAACAGGCUGAUACCGCCCAAGAGUUCAUAUCGACGGCGGUGUUUGGCACCUCGAUGUCGGCUCAUCACAUCCUGGGGCUGUAGUCGGUCCCAAGGGUAUGGCUGUUCGCCAUUUAAAGUGGUACGCGAGCUGGGUUCAGAACGUCGUGAGACAGUUCGGUCCCUAUCUGCCAUGGGCGUUGGAGAUUUGAGAGGGGCUGCUCCUAGUACGAGAGGACCGGAGUGGACGAACCUCUGGUGUUCCGGUUGUCACGCCAGUGGCAUUGCCGGGUAGCUAUGUUCGGAAGCGAUAACCGCUGAAAGCAUCUAAGCGGGAAGCGCGCCUCAAGAUGAGAUCUCCCGGGGCACAAGCCCCCUGAAGGAACCAUGUAGACUACGUGGUUGAUAGGUCAGGUGUGUAAGUACAGCAAUGUAUUGAGCUAACUGAUACUAAUGAUCCGUGCGGCUUGACCAU